UGCUAUUUGCUGUCUACUAAUUACCCUUCGUCGCAUGCCCUCUGUCUGUUUGUUGCUCGCCGUCAGCCUACCCACCUUCUACCGUUUUCUACCCCCUCGCCGCCUGCCCUUUGGUUGUCACGGCACAUUGCCCGCCCUAUACCGUCUGCCAAUCACCCUCCGCUGCUCACAUAUGUUGCCUACUAGCUGCCCUCUGCCGUUCCUGCCCACCUUCCGCUGCUCUCCGCCCCCUGCCGCCCGUCAAUUAGUGUUACCGUCUGCCAUAUGCCACAUGCUAUUAUUUAUCACCCGUAAGUCCCCUCCAUCUGCCUCCAGUUGCAUUUUUCUGCUAUCUGUUACUUGUAUUUGUUAGUCACCUUGUGUAGGUAGUUGUAGUUGUGACUGUCGUUAAAAAUUUAAACAUUACUAAAAUUAAAAAAAAAAAAUUGAUUAAUUAACUUUUAUCUUUUAAUAUUAUUAUAUAAAUAAUAAUUUAAAUUAAUUUUUUAAGUGCAUAUAUUAUAUAAUAUAUAUUAUUAUAUAUACAAACGUAUGGUGAUAUAUAUAACGAUCUAUUAUGUCUAACAUCAACAGAAUACAUAUUAUAUAAUAUUAUGUAUAUAUGUAUUAAUAUACCAAAUACCAGUUUAUGCCGAUAUAUAUUAUCUUUUUCAUAUAUUUUUUGGUAAUUUUAGGAUCAACAAAUUUAUUUAUUUUUGGUAUAAAAAAGGUAAAAGUUAAAAGAAAAGAUGGUCAUGCACAUCCUGAUCGAAGAGACAUUCAUGAUAUCAUCAGUGAUAAACUGUUGGAAAUCAUUCGACACUUGAACAUGAGAAUGAAGCUCCACCGGUGGAGAAAAAUCAUCAUUCGUCAAAUAAUCAGCACAUUUAUUACUUUCGUGAUAGACAUUGAAUUCGAACUUGUCAAUCCUGUAAUAGUAAGUGAUUGUACGAAUGAGGGCGACAUGCGCAUUAGUAUCAUAAUAUUCUUUAGUGAGUAACUGCACCGCCAGAACACUAUCUGUAACACCCAACAUUUUAUUUUUUCUUAUUUUUAUUUUUUUAAUAUAAUUAUUUUUUAUUUAAUUUAUUUUAACUUAUUUUAUUCUAAUUUAAUGAAAAAAGUGGUAAAAAUUCGUUAAUGAUUAAAUUAAAACAAUUUUCGAAAAAAAUGAUGAAAAUUUGGGUUCCGGGGUAUUUUUAAAAGAAAAAUUAGAAAUUUGAGGUCAAAACAUUAUUUAAAAAAAUUACGGCACGUCGGAUGCCCGGUCAGCAACCCCGACCAACCAGGACGCAUCGGAUGCCCGGUCAGCAGCCGAAAACAGCCAACCCGAGAUGGAUCGCCGGAGUACGAUGGAGCUGCCAUGCUAGAUUUUUUAAAUUGGGCGAGUAGGCCCUGAAACUGAUUUUUGGGUUUAUUUGGAAUAUUUGUAAGUACUGUAAGCGCGUUUCAGUUUCCAAAGAAAAAUUCAGGGAACCUAGGGACCGCUCGUAGGUGCAAUGAACCAUUUAGCUUUUCAGCGUCAAAUCAAAUAAAGACUUCUCACCUUAUUUUCUAUCAUAGAAUUAAAAUUUGAAUAAAUAAUAAUAUGGUAUUUUGUACAAAUUAAAUAGAUGUGCAUAAUUAAUUACGGAUUGCUAAUGGAGCCUGAACCGGACAUUAUUUUCUGUUAAUUUAUUUUACAGUCUAAAAGUAUGAUGGUAUUUGGUUUAUCUACUUUAUGAUUUAAAUACAUGUAUUACUACCUUACUUGAUCACCGUGUGAUUUUGGGAUUUAAGAUAUGAUUACAUUAUCGGAUGCAUGUUCAUUUGUUUAUGUGAUUAUGUUUAAUUUGGCAACGGGGACUAAGGAAAAAUAGAAAAGGUAUGUGAUCAAAUAAACAGAUAAUACGAUAGCCUCACUAGAUAUAUUGGGAGAUGGUGGAUAGACUGGGUUCAUAGGGAACCUUACCGUGAACCUUGUCUCAUAUCGGACGGGGUAUGAAGACUUGGUCAUUUAGCACUCAUACCGGACGGUAUGGGGAUGACCUAUUUCACCAUCAUACCGGACGGGAUAUUGAGUUUUAAUGUCUUAGCACUCACACCGGAUGUGGUAUGGGGACAGCUCUGUAAUUAAGAUUGUUAAGGAAAAUGGUUCACGUAUAGCGGAGACACCCCUAUGGAUCUCCAUAGAUACUAGUAGGCUAGUGAAAUGAGAAAUGGUUAUGAUUUAGUUUAUUAUUAAUAAAUGUGAAUUUAUAAUAUGUUCUAUCUUGCUGAUCGUAUAUGAAAUUGUGAUCUGUAUGAUAUUAUUGCUUUUAUAAUUUGUUUCCAUAAAUUCUCCAAUGGUAAGUAAAAUAGUAAAUGGUUUUACUUUUAAUAAAUGUAUUGGUUUAAAUUUAGUGCUCCAUUGGUUAUUUUUUAUUUUCUACCAGCCUUUACUUUUGUGUCGGUGAUAUAGUGUAAUGUCCUUACUGGGCUAGUGUAGCUCACCUCUUAUUAAACCAUUUCAGAUCAAGAGGACCUGGUUUCCGA
rnacentral:lncRNA from 1 species